UAGAAUAAAUAGCUGAGAUCAAUUCUUGUAUUGAAAAAGGUUUUAUUAAAUAACUAUUAACAGCAUUGAUUUGAUUGUCAAAAGAGUAACUAGAUUUACUGUUAACAAAGUCUGGUGUAUAUAUCUGAAGAAAGUCUUGAAUCCAGGUGUUAUCACUAUUGUUGCUGGAAUAUGUUUUGUUAAAUUUACGCAUAUAUUUCCAGAUCCUUGACAUAGGAGUGCACCGGUUAAAGGAAUUGCAUAAUUCAACCCAGCUAUUAGAUCUUACUGUUUUUAAGGAAGGUGGUAGCUGCCAAGUGGAUCAUUAUGUACAGACCAAUCACAAGAAAGAGCCAAUGAUGGUGAAACCAAGGACAAAUCCAGGGCGUUUGGACGCCAAGUCAAAGAACCAACUGUUGUUACUUCACCGCUAUUUAGUAAGACAAGACCAUUGUCAUCAAUAACCUCCAGAAUAUCUCUACCUCUUGAAUUCACGGUAUUGCACCCCCAUGAUGUAUGAUGAGCAUUGAAAUCACCAGCAAAAAUCAUUGGUGCAGGAACAGAUUUUACUAAAGAUUCAAAUUUAUGUUUAUUAAAAGAUGGAGUACAGUUUGGUGGGCAAUAGAAACUAACAAUACUAAUUUCUUUUUUAUUUUUAGAAAUUCUGACACAAAUGUUUUGUAAUGAACUAUCAGAGUAUGUAUUUAUAUUUCUGUAAUGUAUACUGUUAUGUAUUAAAAUAGCUACACCAUUGUGUUUGUUACCAAUAUCAUUUCUCUCUAUUUGAUAUCCCCUUAUGUUAAAGGGUUUAUCAGGUGUAAGCCAUGUUUCUGAAAUUAUUGCUACAUGUAUGUGAUGUU